rnacentral:rRNA from 1 species
AGAGCGGCGAACGGGUGAGUAACGCGUGGGUAAGUUGCCUUCAAGUACGGGAUAGCCCUUCGAAGGGAGGAUUAAUACCGUAUGUGGUCUCCUGAUGCAUAUCAGGAUGUCUAAAGGUGGGGAUUCUUCGGAACCUGCCGCUUGGAGAUACGCCCGCGUCCCAUCAGCUUGUUGGUAGGGUAAUGGCCUACCAAGGCAACGACGGGUAGCUGGUCUGAGAGGAUGGUCAGCCACACUGGGACUGAGACACUGCCCAGACUCCUACGGGAGGCUGCAGUCGAGAAUCAUUCACAAUGCACGAAAGUGUGAUGAUGCGACGCCGCGUGGAGGAUGAAGGCCUUAGGGUUGUAAACUCCUGUCAUGAGGGAAGAAUGUCCAGCCGGUUAAUAUCCGGCUGGAGUGACGGUACCUCAAGAGGAAGCCACGGCUAACUCUGUGCCAGCAGCCGCGGUAAUACAGAGGUGGCGAGCGUUGUUCGGAUUUACUGGGCGUAAAGGGUGCGUAGGCGGCAUUGUGUGUCGGAUGUGAAAGCUCACGGCUUAACCGUGGAAAUGCAUCCGAAACUACAGUGCUAGAGUACAGGAGAGGUAAGUGGAAUUCUUGGUGUAGCGGUGAAAUGCGUAGAUAUCAAGAGGAACACCGGUGGCGAAAGCGACUUACUGGACUGAUACUGACGCUGAGGCACGAAAGCCGGGGUAGCAAAAAGGAUUAGAUACCCUUGUAGUCCCGGCCGUAAACGUUGUGUACUUGAUGUAGGAGGAAUUAUCCCCUUCUGUGUCGGAGCUAACGCGUUACGUACACCGCCUGGGGAGUACGGUCGCAAGAUUAAAACUCAAAGGAAUUGACGGGGGCCCGCACAAGCGGUGGAGCAUGUGGCUUAAUUCGAUGCAACGCGAAGAACCUUACCAGGGCUUGACAUGCCCGUCGUACCCGAAUGAAAGUUCGGGGUCAGCUAGGCUGGACGGUGCACAGGUGCUGCAUGGCUGUCGUCAGCUCGUGCCGUGAGGUGUUGGGUUAAGUCCCGCAACGAGCGCAACCCUUGUGAUUAGUUGCCACUCCCUUCGGGGAAGCACUCUAAUCAGACUGCCCGUGAUAAGCGGGAGGAAGGUGGGGACGACGUCAAGUCAGUAUGGCCCUUAUGCCCUGGGCUGCACACGUGCUACAAUGGCCGGUACAGAAGGAAGCAAGACCGCGAGGUGGAGCUAAUCCCCAAAACCGGCCCCAGUUCGGAUCGUAGUCUGCAACUCGACUACGUGAAGUUGGAAUCGCUAGUAAAGGCGUAUCAGCUACGACGCCUUGAAUACGUUCCCGGGCCUUGUACACACCGCCCGUCACAUCAUGAAAGCCGACUGCACCCGAAACCGUUGAUCCAACCUUCGGGAGGAAAACGUCUAAGGUGUGGUUGGUGAUUGGGAUGAAGUCGUAACAAGGUA